GUAAAUAUAAGUGUGUGUGUGUGUAUGUAGUAUAUAUAUGUAUGUAUAUAUAUAUAUAUAUAUAAACACACACACGUACACAGAUGCACACUCACUCACACAGACAUACUUUAGCCAAAGAAGCUGAACUUUCACCAUGUUGUAGGAUUCGUCAGAAACUUAUCAUAUCUCUGAAGUUUCUUAGAUGAUUUGAAAAUAUUUUCUGGGCAUUGCUAAACAUUAAAACUAAAUUUGAAUAUAACACAGUUUGUACUAAAAGAAAAUAAACAU